rnacentral:rRNA from 1 species
CCUACGGGUGGCAGCAGUGGGGAAUAUUGCACAAUGGGGGAAACCCUGAUGCAGCGACGCCGCGUGAGUGAAGAAGUAUUUCGGUACGUAAAGCUCUAUCAGCAGGGAAGAAAAUGACGGUAGCUGACUAAGAAGCCCCGGCUAACUACGUGCCAGCAGCCGCGGUAAUACGCAGGGGGCAAGCGUUCUCCGGAUUUACUGGGGGUAAAGGGAGCGUAGACGGCAGGGCAAGUCUGGGGUGAAAUCUCAUGGCUUAACCAUGGAACUGCUUUGGACACUGUCCAGCUAGAGUGCAGGAGAGGUGAGCGGAAUUCCUGGUGUAGGGGUGAAAUGCGUAGAUAUUUGGAGGAACACCAGUGGCGAAGGCGACUUACUGGACUGUAACUGACGUUGAGGCGCGAAAGCGUGGGGAGCAAACAGGAUUAGAUACCCGAGUAGUC